GAGAGCACGUGUCCUGCUCUUCUCCCUUUCUUUGAUCCAAGAAGAAAGCACUGUUUUGUUUUUGAGCCAAACUCAGUCUGUUCUCCAGUGGACACCGGCAGGACAACCCUUGUUGGUGCCCAGGUCAAAAGGGGAUCCGUGGGUGCAUCCUGGAGCCGAGCUCGGGGGUUAUCUCCCUGUCCUCAGAAGCUGGUCAGCCUUCCUCACUGUCUUUCCUGCUGAACCAGGCGGAGGCCCACCCUAGUGCCCGUGCUUCAAGAGAAGGAACCAAAGAGCCCACACCAACCGUUUUCCCUGAGGACAAUGCAGCAAGGGAACCCUUGUAGGGAGGCACCCUAUUUUAUGCCAACUGGGAUAGAGCCACUGCCAGAGGCACCACGCGGGAGGAUGGGCCGGCAUCAAACACACCAUUGAGGCUGCCAAGAGCAGGUGAGUGGAACAGAACCAAGGGUGGGGUUGGUGCGUACCCGGGCCGUGGUCCAGGCUUGUCAGGCCAACACCUCUGAGGCAAGUUUGUCAUUUUUAAGCAGAUGC